GGCCCUGGCCAUUCCUAAAAAUGUAAUAACUUGCACAAAGAAGAUAUGAAAACCCCUGGGAGGAAUGGGGGCUCACCGUGACAGCUAUGGAGAGAACAGAGGUGCACCAAAAUCUACGAUCAGCACAAUCAGCAAUAGAGCGACCUACAUCGAUCCAAAGAUGUAGCACCCCGAGCAAAAGGGACAUUAGUACAGAUGAAUAGUACUAGUAUGUAUGGGAAACACAAUUCCAAAUAGGAUGAAUAGUGAACAAAAUGGAAGACUAUUAUAUCAUUUAUAAUUACACCACAGAAGUUUACCAAAUAAGCUUCACAUAUUUUUUAAUUAAGUGUCUUUCCGUUCCUUUAGGUUAAUAUUCUUUAGUGCCAAGUACCAUAUCUUUAUCAUAUAAUACCACCGUGGGGUUUAUAACACGGAGUCUGGUUUCGUCCCGAUAGGCUAACCAUCCACAGUGAGACAUAUCCAUAUUCACGAUAAUGUUUCGGAACCCAGUAUAAAUGCCCCCAUAUGUACAACUUGGCGUCCGAUCUCGGCCCGAUCGGCUAAGUCAUCUCAGUUGGGACAUAACCUCUUUUAAUUACUCUUUAGUUCCCAUUUCCUUCCAUUACUUUCACACACCUGGUACCACACCUCUUUUCAUUUAUUUGUUCCUUGGCACUUAGAUACAUCAACUCAACACAAGUCUUCCCUUUGUCUUUCGUCAUUCAUUUGUAAAGGGCUGUCAUACAAGACAUGCAUAUGCUUAAGAAAAUAACGAACACUUGAAAGACAUGAUCACCUCAUCAAUUUUUAUGAUUUCAAAUAAGCAUAUAGAACAAUGUGAAACGGAAGUCCAUCAUCCAACACACUAAUGCAAUUGAUCAAGUAGAAUCAAUUUUAAAUUUCAGGCCAACCAUUUGAACACCAAGAAUUCAACGUUAAAAAGAAAAGGUUAGUCAUACAUACCUCAAUGGAGUCUCCCUUAAUUCCUUACAAUAAAUUUCAGAAAUCCUUAGCAACUUCGAUCUAUUUUAUGAGAGUCGUGAAUUUAGCCAAGAAUUAGAAAGAUUUGUUCAUGUAAUUCCAUCAUUCAUUUGUCAAGGGCUAUCAUAAACACAUGCACACGCUUAAGAAAAUAACAUAAACUUGAAAGACAUGAUCACCUUAUCAAUUUUCAUGAUUUCAAUUAAGCAUAUAGAGCAAUGUGGAACAGAAGUCCGUCAACCAACAUAUAAAUGUAAUUAAUCAAGUAGAAUCACUUUGAAAUUUCACGCCAACCAUUUCAACACUAAGUAUUCAACGUCAAAAGGAAAGGGUUAGCCAUACAUACCUCUACGGAGUCUCCAUUAAUUCCUUACAAUAAAUUUUGGAAAUCCCUAGAAACUUUGAUCUAUUUUAUGAGAGCCGUGAAUUCAGCCAAGAAUUAGAAAUAUGACUAAGAUUUCUAACUCAUUUGAGCAUAUUGUCAAGCACUAGGUGUAAAUUAUGGUUUUUAGUUCCUUUUGUAAGAGAUUUUAUCAUUUUCUAUACCAAUUACAAUCUUUUGAAUUCACAAUCUUCCCAUACCCCAUUGUUACUUAUGCAUGCAAGAUUUCUAACCUUAUACCUAUGAACCCACUUUGUGAGGGUGUAGUCACUUACUUUAACAGAAAUGUUUUAAAUUAUUGAUGAGGGUGUAGUCACUUACCCAUUAGGAUGAAGACCUAGUAGCCUCCAUUAACAAUCUUCAAGGAUGUGGGCAUGGAUUUAGAUAAAGUUUGAUGAAUGUUACUCCUUCUCACUCUAGAACCCCACACCUCUUUAUGUUUUGAAAAAUGAAAGAAAAUGGACUAUAGUUGUAUUUUAGUAGGGGUGGGAUUGAAUUUUAAAAUUUAGAAAAUAAUAUCCCGAGUUGGAUUUGCGCUUGCAUUUGUGAUCGCAAAGUUGAAAUGCAGUCCGUAGAAUGGAUCGCAAAUAUGCUCCAAAAAAUUGGGCACUUUGGCUGGGUUCGCAGCAGAAAUGCGGUCAGCAUUCAUGUUCUGCGGUCGCAUAAUGCACUGUAAAAGUGCCCUUCACAAAAUUCUUGGGAUAUUAUGCAAUGACCAUGUAGUCUGCAUUGUGGUUAUUUGAUCGCAUAGUUGACUUCAAAUUUUGCCAACACACUGAUUCGUUCUUGUGGUUGAAAUGCGGCCGACAUACUAGAUAUGAGGUCGCAUUCUUGACCGUAGAAUUUCAAACAUAUUUUCUUGACUUUUUAAUGCAUAGAAUAGUCCAAAAGGGUUUGAACCACAGCUCGCAAGCUCGCCGCAAAGAGUUUUUACACAUUUCUAAUACACAUUCCUAAUCCGGUACUAUGAGCUUUCUGGUUUAUAGCAAAAAUCUUUCACGGGCAUCACAUUCUUCCCCUCUUAGGAUCAUUCAUCCCCGAAUGAGGGUCAAGGUUCCCAUACUAGCAGUCUCUCAUGAACUCCCAUGUCUCGCAAUCAUGGGAUAUUUCGAUAACUCCAAAUUUGGCUAACUCCCUAAAUUUCUGAAAAUUUUGCCAGAGUUCCCUCUGUAUCUAGGCAUAUCCACCUGUCAAAGAGCCCCAGAAAACAUUACCUAACUGCGUAUAUACAUGAUCCAUAGACACAACCUGACCUUUACAAUAUUAACCAUGGCCACAUGGACAAUCAUAUUACCAAGAUAAAGCAGAACAUUUUUCAUAUAGAUUGAAACAAGGAUAUAGAUUUCAUAAGGACCAUAUAGUGGAAAGCUAUUACAUGACUAUACAAACAAAUGGGGGUACUUCCUUUUCAUUUCUUCCCCUGCUUCCCAACUGGCCUCUUCAAACUGCUAGUUUCUCCGUAACACCUUUACGGAGGCAAUUUCCUUAUUCCUCAAUUUCAGGACCUUCCUGUCAAGAAUGGCAAGUGGGACUCCUUCAUAGGACAUCUUUUCAUUGAUCUCAAUAGUUGCAACCUACCCGAUAGUGGACAGAUCUCCCACUUGUUUCUUCAACAUAUACACAUGAAAAACCGGGUGUACCAAUGACAUCUCGGGUAGCAACUCAAGUUUGUAUGCUACUUGACCAAUUCGCUGGAAAAUCCUGCACGGUCUGAUAUAUCUUGGGCUCAGUUGCCCUUUCUCCCCGAACCGUAUGAUACUCUCCAUGGGGGAAACCUUCAAGAACACCCUAGCUAGCGUAGAAGCUGUUGUUAUAAGAAAAUGCUACGACUGGCAAAUGAUCAUCCUAGCUACCUUUGAAAUCAAGGGUGCAAGUACGCAAUAUGUCUUUAAGUGUAUGAAUAGUCCGCUCACCUUGCCCGUUAGUUUGAGGGUGAAAAAUUGCACUAAUAUUUAACUUCUUGCCCAAACCCUGCUAAGAUUUCUUCCAAAAGUUGGCUAUGAACUGAGCCCCUCGAUCUAAAUUGAUUGAUACUGGAGUACCAUGCAACCUGACUAUUUCCUUGAUGUAUAACUGAGCACACAGUUCCGCUGUGUUGGUAGAUUUGAGUAGCAAGAAGUGCACUGAUUUCGUGAGUUGAUCAACAAUAACCUAAAUUGAAUCAAACUUGCGUGGAGUGCACGGCAACCCUACCAUAAAAUCCAUAUUGAUCAUCUAUCAUUUCCACAUAGGAAUUUUUAUGCUUUGAGCCAGUCUCUCAGGCCUUUGGUGUUCGACCUUAACUUGCUGACAGUUCGUACAUCUAGCCACAAAGUUUGCCACAUCCCUUUUCAUGUUAUUCCACCAAUAGACUUCCUUGAGAUCAUGAUACAUUUUUGUAGAACCGGGUUGCAUAUAGUAUUUAGAAGUGUGAGCUUCUACCAUGAUUCUUUCUUGAAGACCGUCAACAUUUGGAACACAUAGGCGGCCUUGGCACCGUAGGGUACAAUCCUCCUCGAUAAAAGAAAAAGCUGUGGUCUUGUUUUUAUGAAUCCCCUCUUUUAAAUACACUAACGAUGGGUUGUCGAAUUACUUUUCCUUCACUUCUGCCACAAGCGAUGAUUCUGUCCUAUUUUGCACAACUAUCCGUCCAUUAUUAUAGUCCACAAGAUAGACUCCCAAGGUAGCCAAUUGAUGAACUUCCUAGGCCAAUGGCCUCUGAUCCGCCCUCAAAUGAGCCAAAAUCCUCAUAGAUUUCUAGCUAAGAUCCUCGGCCACAACUUGUCCUUUCCCUGGUGAUAGAGAAUAUCAAUAUAAUAGUCCUUGAGUAACUCUAGCAAUCUCCUCCACCUCAGCUUCAACUCUUUUUGCUCUAAAAUAUAUUGAAGGCACUUGUGGUUCGUGAAUACAUCCAUGUGGACCCCAUAUAGAUAAUGACGCUAAAUUUUUAGCGCGAACACCAUUGCCGUCAGCUCUAAGUCAUGAGUUGGAUAGUUCUUUUCAUGAUUCUUAAGUUGCCUAGAAACGUAAGCUGCAACCUUAUCAUGUUGCAUUAACACACACCCAAGCCCGAUCCUUGAAGCAUUGCAAUACACCAAAAAUCCCUCUGUACCCUCUGGCAGGAUUAGUACUGGUGUUGUAGUCAAUCUUGAUUUCAAUUCCUGGAAACUCCUUUCACAAGCAUCGGACCACUGGAACUUAGCUACUUUCUGGGUCAAUUUAGUCAAGAGAGAGGCAAGAGUAGAAAAUCCUUCCACAAAUUGUCUAUAGUACCCAACCAAACCCAAGAAACUACAAAUCUCUAUUGAUGUGGUACGCUUGGGCCAAUUCUUCACUGAUGCAAUCAUUUGAGGGUCAACCGUAAUUCCUUCUGGGGAGACAACAUGACCCAAAAACACGACAGAUUCAAGCCAAAAUUCACAUGUUGAAAACUUUGCAUACAUCUAAUUUUGCUGGAGAGUUUGUAGUUACCGCCUUGAUAUAGCCAACAUGGUCUUCCUGACUUCGGGAAUACACAAGAGUAUCGUCAAUGAACACGAUGACAAAAGAGUCUAGAAAAGGCUUAAAGACUUGAUUUAUAAGAUCCAUGAACACUGCCGGGGCAUUUGUGAGCCCAAAAGACAUCACUAGACAUUAAAGUGCCCAUACCGAGUUUUAAAAGCUAUUUUUGGAACAUUCUGCUCCCUUAUCUUCAAUUGGGAUAUCCGUAUCGCAAAUCAAUUUUUGAAAAAGCAUGAGGCACCUAGCAAGUGAUCAAACAAAUCAUUUAUCCUUGGAAACGGGUACUUAUUUUUUAUUGUUACCUUAUUGAGUUGCCGGUAGUCAAUACACAUUCGCAACGACCCAUCUUUCUUUCUGACAAAGAGAACCAAAACGCCCCAAGGCGACACACUCGGUCAAUUGAAACCCUUCUCUAUAAGAUCCUUCAGUUGUUCCUUUAGCUCCUUCAAUUUUGUCGGUGCCAUUCCAUAAGGUGGAAUAAAUAUUGGUUGGGUGCCUGGCAUCACAUCAAUCCCAAAAUUAAUCUCCUUGUUUGGAGGGAUCCCAGGGAGCUCAUCCGGAAACACAUCGGUAAAUUCAUUCACCAUUGGCACAAAUUCAAGAUUAGGCACCUCAAUUGUAGUGUUCGUAACUCAUACCAAAUGACAAAUGCACCAUUUCCUGAUCAUCUUUAAGGCCUUAAGGUAAGAAAUAAAACCUACCCUUCGGCAUGAUAUUAUUCCCUUCCCACUCAGUAGCUAGCUCGUUAGGAAAUUCGAGUCUCAUAACCUUAGUUCGGCAAUCAAGUUUGGAAAAACAUGAAUAAAGCCAAUCCAUUCCCAUUAUUACAUCAAAAUCAACCAUCCCCAAUUUAAUAAGAUUAACCAUGGCAUCCCGGUCACGCAGUGUGACCACACGACCCUUGUAAACCUGUGCGGCUAGAAAAGACUUGCCGACAAGAGUAGUUACGGAGAACGGCUCAUGAAGUUGUUCCGGUUCUAUAUCGAAGUUUAAAGCAACAUAUGGGGAAACACAGUAUGAGGAAGACCCGAGAUCAAUAAGAGCAUAUUCAUCAUGAGAUUGAACUAUCAAUAUACCUGUGACAACAUCCGGGGAGGCCUCUGCACUCUGACAACCAUUCAUGGUAUAAAACCCGCAUCCAUAGCAUACUGGAAUCUCUACGUAACAGACUCCUGAAUAUACUCUCCCCAAUUUAGGGAAUAGGGCCCUCUACUGCUGCUGGGAUCUCCCUCCCGAUCGGUCCUAAUGAUGGGGCCCCGGGCUGUUCUAGCUGGGCCUAAAGCGACUCCUUUGCUAUAAACUGUGCCCUGAUGGCCGGGCACUGGAUGAAAACUGAGCAUAAGACUGGGAUGGACCUCAUGAUCCCCUCCGCAUGGCUGAUCCUUCACCUCCAGAUGAAUCUCCAAGGUGGCCUACUGAUUGAGCCCUGUCACUUCCUUCCCAUUCCAUCCUGUGCUUUAAUUUUCGAGCCUCGGUAGCUUGGGAAUAGGCUACCAUUCUUUCAUAGUUCAUGUUAGAAUUUAGAGCGGCUGUGGCAGCUUCAUUGAUGAAAGGUGCCAAGGCCUUGCACAAAUCGAUGCACCAUAGCCUCCAUUAUAUGCAUCACGUGAAACGUAUACUUUGACAUGUACACAAACUCCAUAUGAUACUCCCACAUGCACCUGCUAGCAUGCUUGAGGAUCUCAAACUCUACAGCACGGGAUGCCUUUGUCUCGGUAGGCAUGAAAUAGUCUAUGAAGGCAUCCGCAAACUCACUCCACCUAGUUGGAGGGCUUCCCUCCUCAUGGGAGUCUUCCUACAUCUCGAACCAGGGAUAUGCUACCCCUUUCAGACGAUAGGAUGCCAACUCCAAUCCCUCCAUCUCGAUAGCACACAUAACUCAAAGCAUCUUAUGCAUUUCAUCAAUGAAAUCUUUUGGGUCUUCUCCGGGAUUAGUGCUUGUGAAAACUGGAGGGUUCAGCUAAAGAAACCUGUUUACUUUGGAACAGGAAGAGUCCCUUUGCAGGCUAAAUGAGGUGGUUGUAGCAUUUGACCUCUACGCCUGUACCAGAACUAGAAGUGGCUAGAGCAGGAAUAUCAGUAGGAGGGGUGGUUGUACCCUCCGCAUGUAUAGGAAUUGGGGUAGUUUGCUCUGGACUGGACAAACCAGGUAAAGUGAUAGCAAGGCAGUUGCCCUCCCCCGCAGCAUCAAGUAGGGAUUUAUCAGCCACCCCCGAUGGGCCAUUGGCUUCCUGACCCAAUCUCGCCUUCUUCUUAUGUGCCAUUCAGUGAAAGGUAGAAUAAUGCACGAGUUAGAGGAAAGCAGCAUCACAUACCGCUCUAACGCAUGAUAAGGAACACAACAUAGAGUAUGAUUUCCUAAAUGUUCGAGUAGCCCCCUACUAAUAGAUUUGGUCGAAAACACACAAAUAAGAAGAUCUAUACUAGACACGGCUCCGAGACAUCCUAGGACGCUUUAAAAACCUUACGCUCUAAUAUCAAGUUUGUCACACCUCGACCUCGUAGAGCGUGAUCAGCCCAUAACCGAGGGAACCCGAUCAGGCAAGCCUCACCUGAACACUUUCUACCCGACUUCGAUAAAAUUAUGGGAUCUGAUUCUAUUUAAUGAAAUUAAAGGAUAAAAGGGUUUGUACGUUUUCGAUCAUGGGCAUUUUAUUUUAUAACACAACAUUAAGUUGUAUUUUAAACUUCUAAUAUUUCCAUACACACAGAUAUAGUUUAGUACCUUCCAUAGUAUUGUUUCCCAAAAGUACAUACAAUUGAUAGGCUAAGGCAAAAAGUUUCAAAAUACAACGUGAUUCUAAGACCACCUCGGCACCUAUAGAUAACCCACAGAAACGUCUACGGAGCAUCUAAGGAAUACAAGAGACCAAAAUGAUGAUGCCGGUGACAAGGCCCAGGCCAUACCUCAAAAUGUAAUAAAUUACACAAAGAAGAUAUGCAAACCCUAGGAGGAAUGGGGGCUCACCAUGAUAGUUGUGAAGAGAACAAGGGUGCACCACUAUCUGCGAUCGGCACUAUCAGCAAUGGAACAACCUACAUCCAUCCAAAGAUGUAGUGCCCCUAGCAAAAGGGACGUUAGUACUAUCGAAUAGUACUAGUAUGUAUGGCAAACACAAUUGCAAAUAGGAUGAACAAUGAACCAAAUGGAAGGCAAAUACAUCAUCAACAAUUACACAACAAAAAUUUACCAAAUAAGCUUUAUAUGAUUUUGAUUAAGUCUUUCAAUUCCUUUAGGUUAAUAUGCUUUAGUGCCAAGUACCAUAUCUUUAUAAUAUAAUACCACCGUGGGGUUUAUAACACGGAGUCCUCUCUCGACCACCCGACCGGCUAACCAUCCACAGUGAGGCAUAUCCAUAUUCAUGAUAAUGUUUCGGAACCCAGUAUAAAUGCUGCCAUAUGUACAACAUGGUGUCCGAUAUCGGUCCGAUCGGCUAAGCCAUCUCACUUGGGACAUAGCCUCUUUUAAUUACUCUGUAGUUCCCAUUUCCUUCCAUUUUUUUCACACACCUGGUACCACACCUCUUUUAAUUUAUUUGUUCCUUGGCACUUAGAUACAUCAACUCAACACAAGUCUUCCCUUUGUCAAUUUGUUCAGGCAAUUCCAUCAUUCAUUUGUCAAGGGAUAUUAUACAAGACAUGCACACGCUUAAGAAAAAUAGCGAAAACUUGAAAGACAUGAUCACCUCAUCAAUUUUCAUGAUUUCAAAUAAGCAUAUAGAGCAAUGUGGAACGGAAGUUCGUCAGCCAAUACAUUAAUGCAAUUAAUCAAGUAGAAUCAAUUUUAAAUUUCACGUCAACCAUUUCAACACUAAGAAUUCAACGGCAAAAAGAAAGGGUUAGCCAUACAUACCUCAACAAAGUCUCCCUUAAUUACUUACAAUAAAUUCCAUAAAUCCCUAGAAACUUUGAUCUAUUUUGUGAGAGCUAUGAAUUUAGCCAAGAAUUAGAGAUACGACUAAGAUUUCUAGCUCAUUUUAGCAUAUUGUCAAGCACUAGGUGUACAUUGUGAUUUUUAGUUCGUUUUGUGAGAAAUUUUAUCAUUUUCUACUCCAGUCACCAUAUUUUGAAUCCACAAUCUUCCCAUACCCCGUUGUUAAUUACCCAUGUACCCACUUGCUAAUUACUUAGUUUAACAUAAUAUUUGAAAUUAUUGAUGAAGGUGUGGUCACUUACCAAUUAGGAUGAAGACCUAGUAGCCUCCAUUAAAAAUAUUCAAGGAUUUUGGCAUUAAUUUAGAGAGAGCUCGAUGAAUGUUACUCCGUCUCACUCUAGAACUCCACCUCUCUCUCCUUAUGUUGUGAAAAAGGACAGAAAUAGCCUGUAGUUGUGUUUUUUUGUUUGGGUGGGGCCGGAUUUUAAAAUUUAGAAAAUAUGAGCCCAAGUCAAAUUUGCCGUAACAUUUGCGAUCGCAAAGUUAAAAUGCGGUCCGCAGAAUGGACGCAAAAAUGCUCCAAAAACUGGACACUCUAGCUGGAUUUGCGGCAGAAAUACGGUAUGCAUUCACGUUUUGUGAUUGCAUAAUGCACCACAGAAAUACCUUUCCCAAAAUCCUUGGGAGAUUAUGCGAUGACUAUACGGUCUUCAUUAUGGUUAUGCGAUCGCAUAAUUGUUCGCAUUGUUGGCUUCAAAUUUGGCCAACACACUGAUUCGUUAUGCGGUAGAAAUAUGGCCUGAAUACUUGAUAUGUGGUCGCAUUCUCGAUUGCAUUUCAAACAUAUUUUCUUGUUUUUUUAAAUGCAUAGCUUAGUCCAAAAGGGUCCAAACCACAGCUCGCAAGCUCGUCGCGAAGAAUUUUUACACAUAUCUAAUACACAUUCCUAAUCCGACACUACGAGCUUUAUGGUUUAUUGCAAAAAUAUUUGAGGGGCCUCAUAUUCUCCCCCUCUUAGGAUUAUUCGUCCCUGAAUGACGGUCAAGGUUCCCUUACUAGCAGUCUCUCAUGAACACCCAGUGUCUCACAAUCAUGGGAUAUUUCAAUAACUCCGAAUUUGGUUAACUCUGUAAAUUUCUAAAAUUUCUCUAGAAUUCCCUUUGUAUCUAUGACUAUCCACCUAUCAGAGAACCCAGAAAAAACAUGACCUAAAUGCAUAUAUACAUGAUCCAUAGACAUAACAUGACCUUUGCAGUAUCAACCUUGGCCACAUGGAAUAUCGUAUAACAAGGAUGAAGCAGAACCGUUUUCACAUAGAUUGAAAUAAAGAUAAAAUUUUCAUAGGGACCAAAUUGUGGAAAGCUAUUACAUGGCUAUACAAAAAAAUGUGGCUACUUCCUUUUCAUUUCGUCAUCAGCUUCCCAACUGGUCUCUUCGACAUGCUAGUUUCGCCACAUCACCUUUGCGAAGGCAAUUUCCUUAUUCCUCAAUUUUCGGACCUGCCUGUCAAGAAUGGAAAAUGGGACUCCUUCAUAGGACAACUCUUCAUUGACCUUAAUAGUUUCAACCAAUACGAUAGUGGACGGAUCUCCUAGUACUUUCUUCAACAUAGACACAUAAAAUAUUGGGUAUACCAAUGACAUCUCGGGCAGCAACUCAAGCUUGUAUGCUACUUGACCAAUCCGCUGGAUAAUCGUGUACGGUCCGAUAUAUCUUGGGCUCAAUUUCCCUUUCUUCCCGAACCGUAUGAUACUAUUUAUGGGGGAAACCUUCAAGAAUACCCAAUCGUCUUCUUUGAAUUCCAAAUCCCCAUGGCGAACAUCCAAAUAAUACUUUUGGCGACUAUGAGCAGUCUUCAAUCUUUCCUUAAUCCUCUUGACCUUCUCCAUGGCCUGGUGCACAAGGUUUGGCCCUAUCAAUUCAGCUUCCCCAAUUUCGAACCACCUAAUUGGGGACCUAUAUCUUCUACUAUACAAUGCCUCAAAUGCUGCAAUUUGGAUACUGGCGUGGAAUCUGUUGUUAUAAGAAAAGUAUAUGAGUGGAAAUUAAUCAUCCCAGAUACCUUAGAAAUCAAGGGUGCAAGCACGCAACAUGUCCUCAAGUGUCCGAAUAGUCCACUCAGCUUGCCCGUCAGUUUGAGGGUGAAAAGCUAUGCUAAGAUUUACCUACGUGCCCUAACCCUGCUGAAAGUUUUUCGAAAAAGUUGGCUGUGACAACGCCCCUAGAUCUAAAAUGAUUGAGAUCGGAGUACCAUGAAACUUGACUAUUUCCUUGAUAUAUAACUGAGCAUACUAUUCCGCUGUUUCGGUAGAUUUGACUGGCAAGAAUUGCAAACUUUUCAUGAGUCAAUCAACAAUCACCCAAAUUGAUUCAAACUUGUGCGGAGUGCACGACAAUCCUACCACAAAAUCCAUAUUCAUCAUCUCCCAUUUCCAUAUAGGAAUAUCCAUGCUUUGAGCAAGUCCCCCAAGACUUUGAUGUUUGGCUUUCACUUGCUGACAGUUCAGACAUCGAGCUACAAAGUCCACUACAUCCCUUUUCAUGUUAUUCCACCAAUAGACUUUCUUGAGACAUGAUACAUUUUCAUAAAACCAGGGUGCACGGAGUAUCCAGAAGUGUGAGCUUCUGCCAUGAAUAUUUCUCGAAGACUAUCAACAUUUGGAACACAUAGGCAGCCUUGGCACCGCAGGAUACCAUCCUCUCUGACAAGAGAAAAAGUUGUGGUUUUGUCCCCUAUUUCAAAUGCACUAACGAUGGGUCGUCAAAUUGUUUUUCCUUCACCUAUUCCACAAGCGAUGAUUCCAUCGUAUUUUGCACAACUGCCCCUCCAUCAUUAGAACCCAUAAGAUGGACUCCUAAACUGGCCAAUUGAUGAACUUGUGGGGCCAACGACCACUAAUCCGCCCUCAAAUAAGCCAAACUCCCAACAUAUUUCCGGCUAAGAGCAUCAGCCACAUCGUUAUCCUUUCCCGGGUGAUGGAGAAUAUCAAUGUCAUAGUUCUUGAGUAACCCUAGCCAAGCCUCAAUUUUAGCUACUUUUGCUUGAAAAUAUAUUGAAGGCUCUUUUGGUCCGUGAAUACAUCCACAUGGACCCCAUAUUGAUAAUGACACCAAAUCUUUAGCGCGAACAGCACUGCCGCUAGCUCUAAGUCAUGAUUUGGAUAGUUCUUUUCAUGAUUCUUGAGUUUCCUAGAAGCGUAGGUUAUAACCAUACCGUGUUGAAUUAACACACACCCAAGCCUGAUCUUUGAAGCAUCGUAAUACACCAAACAUCCCUCUGUACCCUCCGGUAGGGUUAAUACCGAUGUUGUAGUCAAUCUUGAUUUCAAUUCCUAGAAACUCCUUUCACAAGCAUCGGACCACUGGAACUUAGAUGCUUUCUGUUCAAUUUAGUCAAGGGAGAGGCAAGAGUGGAAAAUCCUUCCACAUAUCGUCAAUAGUAUCCGGCCAAACCGAAAAACCUGCGAAUAUCUAUUGGUGUGGUGGGCCUGGGCCAAUUCCUCACUGCUACAAUCUUUUCAGGGUCAACCAUAAUUCGUUCUGGGGAGACAACGUGACCCAAAAAUGCAAUAGAUUCAAGCAAAAAUUCACAUUUUGAAAACGUUGCCUAUAGCUGAUGUUGCAGGAGAGUCUGCAGAACCGCCCUGAGAUGGCAAACAUGGUCCUCCUGACUACGGAAUACACAAGAAUAUCGUCAAUGAACACGAUCACCAAUGAGUCUAGAAAAGGCUUAAAGACUCGAUUCAUAAGAUCCAUGAACGCUGCCGGUGCAUUUAUCUAGCCCAAAAGACAUCACCAGAAAUUCUAAGUGCUCAUACCGAGUUGUAAAGCUAUUUUUGGAACAUCUUUCUCCCUUAUCUUCUAUUGGAUAUUUGGAUCACAAAUCAAUUUUUGAAAAGCAUGAGACACCUCACAAUUGAUCAAACAAAUCAUCUAUCAUUGGCAACGAGAUUUUUUAUUGUGACCAUAUUGAGUUGCCGAUAGCCAAUACACAUUUGCAACAACCCAUUGUUCUUUCUGAUAAAGAAAAUCGGAGUGCCCCAAUGUGACAAACUCGAUCGAAUGAAACCCUUCUCUAAAAGAUCCUUCAGUUGUUCCUUUAGCUCCUUCAGCUCUGUUGGUGGCAUUCUAAAGGGUGGAAUAGAUAUAGGUUGGGUGCCUGGCAUCACAUCAAUCCAAUAACCAAUCUCCCUAUCUGGAGGAAUCCCAAGGAGCUCGUCUGGAAACACAUCGAGAAAUUCACCACAAUUGGCACAGAUUCAAGAGUUGGCACCUCAGUUGUAGUGUCCAUAACUCAGACCAAAUGACAAGUGCACCCUUUCCUGAUCAUCUUCGAGUCCUUAAAGUAAGAUAUAAACCUACCAUUCGGCAUGACAUUAUUCCCUUCCCACUCAAUAGCUAGCUCGUUAGGAAAUUCGAGCCUCAUGACCCUAGUUCGGCAAUUAAGUUUAACAAAGCAUGAAUAAAUCCAAUCCAUUCCUAUUAUUACAUCAAAAUCAACCAUCUCCAAAUCAUCUAGAUCGGCCAUGGAAUCCUAAUCACGCACAGUGACUACAGAACCCUUGUAAACCUGUGCGGCAGUAACAGACUCGCCGACUGGAAUAGAUAUGGAGAACAACUCAUGAAGCUAUUCCGGUUCUAUCAUGAAGUUUAAAGAAGCAUAUUGGGUAACAUAGGACAAGGAAGACUAUGGAUCAAUAAGAGCAUAUACAUCAUGAGAUUGAAUGGUCAAUAUACCUGUGACAGCAUUUGGGGAGGCCUCUACACUCUGACAACCACAAAUUUCUACAUAUUUCUAAUACACAUUCCUAAUCCGGCACUACGAGCUUUCUAGUUUAUAGCAAAAACCUUUUCAUGGGCCUCACACGACCUAUGGAGGGAAGUGCAGGUGAAUGAGUAUUCUAUUGUUGACCAACUGAACUAAAUCCCUGCUCAGAUAUCUAUCCUUGCAGUGUUGCAAAAUUCAGAGGUCCACAAAAAUUCUUUAAUGAAGGUGUUAAGUAAGGUUUAUGUACCCAAAAACAUCACCAAUGGAGAAAUGGCCAACAUGGUUGGGCAAGUGUAGGAGAGCCAUAAGAUUAGCUUCCACGAAGAUGAGCUACCGCUUCAGAGUUUGAAUCACAAAUGAGCAUUGCAUAUUAUGGUGUAAUUUGAAGACAAGUUCAUUUCCAAGGUCCUGGUGACGGAGGUUCAAUCCUAAAUAUUGGUCUGUUUGACACUCUUAAAAGGUUGGACAAAGGUUUCCAUGAAAUACAGGUAGGACGCAUGAAUGUGAAAGCUUUCGAUGGGUCUUAGAGGGCCAAGAUCGAGGAAUUUAGCCUUCGAUUGCAGAUGGGGCCAACAUGGUUCAAUGUCGAGUUUCAGGUGCUCAACAUACCAACCUCAUUUAACUUCCUAUUUUGUCCAACCAUGGAUCCAUGCUGUUGGAGCUGUACCUUCCACACUACAUCAAGCCGUGAAGUUUGAAUGGAACCGACAUGAGGUAAUCAUUCAUGGGGAUAGAGUAACCCUAUUUACACUAGUCAAACCAUGCCGGCCAUUGGACAUAGAAGAAAGUUAGGAGGGGAAACAUAUCGUCACAUUGAAUGGAUCAACGACGUCGAGAAGCAUGAAGUGUGGAGUAGUAAAAUACAAAGCAUAUUAGCCUGGUCUGGAUAUGAACCUAGCAAAGGGUUGAUUAAGGAACUUCAAGGUAUCAGUAGACCAAUAUAGCUGAAAAACCAUGGUACCACUUUCGGGCUCGGAUACCAGUACACAUGGAAAGAGUAUAGAAAUUGGUCGUGUCCAUGGUAUGGACUGUAUUACCCUCCUGAGCAACUAGUGCCACCUUUUGAACAAGCUUUUCACCAAGCUGAUACGAUAUGGGGGACUGUGGAAGAAGAAGCACUAGCGAGGUUGAAGAAUUUGUUCUUGGAAGAUGAAGACAUGGACUGUAGUUAUAUAAUUGAGGAGGAGGAGGAAGAAGGCCACACUAUUCAGACCAUGAAGAAGAGAGAUGUUCUAAAAACUUGACUGCCACACCAUCCCAAGCCCGCUUAGUCCUUGGGUGAAUGAACUUACUUCUAUAGCCGCUCAAGGCAUUUAAGAUUUCUAGUAAUUUUUUUUUAAGAUUUACUUGUUUCAAAAUAAAUGCUCGAUUCAUCGAGCCAAGAUUUGUAUGAACGAUUUUCUCAAUUUUAAUCAAAUGCAUUUGUUCUUUGUCAAUAUUCAUUAAUAUUUUUAUAUUUUCCCUCUAUACCAUUAUUAUUACUUUUCCCGAUGAAGUAGUGACUAUGACAUGUAAUGAGGUAACACGAAAUGAGAAUACUGAUUCAGAUGAAGAGGAUGAGAUAUCCAAGGAAAUCGUCAGGGAAGUCGAGAAUUUUGAGAACAAGCCUAAGUCCAACCUGGGCGAAAUAGAAGCAGUAAAUUUGGGAGCUGCCGAGAUCAUCAAAGAGACUCGCAUUAGUAUUUAUUUGUCACCGACAGAGAAAGAAGAGUACAUUCGAUUCCUAAGAGAGUAUAAGGAUAUUUUGCAUGGUCAUAUGAUGACAUGACCAGUUUUAGGACGUCCAUAGUGGCAAACAAGCUACCUCUUAAUCCCAUGUGUCCACCAGUAAAGCAGAAACUCAGAAAGUUCAAACUAGACUUUAGCGUGAAAAUCAAGGAGGAAGUUACUAAACAGAUCAAAGCCAAAGUAGUCAGAGUGGUUAAGUACCCAACUUGGUUAGCUAACAUUGUGACCGUUCUGAAGAAGGAUGGGAAAGUCAGGGUAUGCGUAAACUAUCGAGAUUUAAAUAGAGCAAGUCCCAAGGAAGACUUUCCCCUAACGCGUAAACUAUCGAGAUUUAAAUAGAGCAAGUCCCAAGGAAGACUUUCCCCUACCAAACAUACACAUUUGACUGAUAACUAUGCCAAGCAUGAAUUUCAAUCCUUUGUAGAUUGCUUCGCAGGUUAUCACCAGAUUUGGAUGGAUGAAGAAGAUGUAAAGAAGACAGCUUAUAUUAUACCAUGGGGUAUAUACUAUUAUAAGAUGAUGCUUCAGUUUUAAGAAUGCUCGGGCCACUUACUUGUGAGCCAUGACAACCAUCUUCCAUGAUUUGAUACACAAGGAAAUAGAGGUGUAUGUGGAUGAUGUCAUUAUGAAAUCCAAGAGGGACGCAGAUCACAUAACAAACUUGAAUAAGUUCUUUGAUAGACUAAGGAGGUACAACUUGAAACUGAAUCCCGUAAAGUGUGCAUUCAGGGUUCCCGCAGGAAAGCUAUUAGGAUUCAUCGUCAGUCGUCGAGAGAUCGAGUUGGAUCCAUCAAAAGUCAUAUCUAUUUAGGAUUUACAACUACCCAAGAAUAAAAAGGACGUGAUGAGCUUCAUAGUUAGUCUCAAUUACAUCAGUCUCUUCAUAGCACAAUUCACGGUCAUAUGUGAACCCAUCUUCAAUAUGCUAAGAAAAGAUGUCGAAACAACCUGGACUGAGGAUUGUCAAAAAGCCUUUGACAAGAUCAAGGAAUAUAUAUCCACACCACCAGUGCUGGUCCAGCCAAAACUAAGACGACCUUUGCUAAUUUAUCUGUCUGUACUGGAUGGAGCCUUCGGAUGUGUUCUAGGACACCAUGAUGAGAUAGGAAGAAAGGAGCAAGCCAUGUAUUACUUAAGUAAGAAGUUCACACCUUAUGAAGCACAGUAUUCUCUACUUGAACGCACUUGCUGUGCUUUGACCUGGAUAGCUCAAAAAUUGAGGCAUUACUUUUGUGCGUACACUAUAUACCUCAUAUCGAGGAUAGACCCUUUGAAGUACAUAUUUCAAAAACCCAUGUCGACUGGGAAGUUGGCUAAAUGGCAGAUACUACUAAGUGAAAUCGAUAUUAUCUACGUAACUCAAAAAGAGGUCAAGGGACAAGCAUUGGCAGAUCACCUUGCUAAAAUCUGGUGGGAGGAGCAUACAAGCCUCUACAAAUGUAUUUUCUGAUGAAGAAAUGUCAUUCGUAGGGGGAAGACAUUGACGAAGCAUAUGACAGUUGAAGGAUGUCCUUCGAUGGAGCCAUAAAUUUCAAAGGAUUAGGCAUCGUGGUAGUUUUGAUAUCAGAAAUGGGUCAGCAUUAUCAGGUAUCUGCUAAACUCAGAUUUCCUUGCACCAACAACAUGGCAUAUAUAAAGCUUGCAUACUAGGAAUCGACAUCGCAGUCGACAUGAACAUUCAGGAGCUACUGGUGAUCAGAGAUUCAGAUUUGCUUGUGCACCAAGUACAAGUAGAGUUGGCCAUCAAAAACUCCAAGAUAUUGCCAUAGCUGCACCAUGUGCAAGAAUUGAGAGAGAGGUUCACAAAGAUAGAAUUAUACAGAAUAAGUUUGCCGAUGUAUUGGCCAUUUUGUCAUCAAUCAUACAACAAUCAGAUAAGAAUUAUAUUGAUCCCAUUUCAGUAAAGAUCCAUAAUCAGCCAUCAUAUUGUGCUCACAUUGAAGAAGAAAAAAAUGGGAAGCCUUGGUACUAUGACAUCAAUGAGUACUUAUCAAAAAGAGAAUACCCAGAGCAUGUAAAUCACACUCAGAAAAGCAUACUCUGGAGAUUGUCGAAUUAGUUCUUCCAAAGUGGAGGAAACUUGUACAGAAGAACUCAUAAUUUGGGUUUACUAAGGUGUAUCGACAUGAAGGAAGCUUCAAAGCUACUGGAGGAUGUGCAUGCCGGGACCUGUGGCCCAUACUUGAAUGGUUUCAUCUUGGCUAAGAAAAUACUCAGGGCGGGUUACAAUUGGAUGCCCAUGGAAAUAGAUUGCAUUCAAUGUUCGCAAAAACUUUCAAUGUCAAUUUCACACUGACAAUAAUAAUCUGAUGAAAGCUAUGUGUGAAUCUUUCAAAAUCAAGCACAAGAAUUCCACAACCUACAGACCUCAGAUAAAUAGAGUCGUAGAAGCCGCCAAAAAAAACAAGAAGAUACUAAGUAAAAUGGUAGAGAACCACAAAAAAUGGCAUGGCAUGAGAAGUUAACUUUUGCUUUAUUGGGAUACCACACUACAGUUCACAUAUCAACUGUGGCAACUCCCUACAUGCUGAUUUAUGGUACUGAGGUUGGCAUCCUAACCGAGGUAGAGAUUCCUUCCUUAAGAAUAAUAUGGGAAGCCGAACCCAGUGAUGUAGAGUGGAUAAGGGGUUGCUAUAAAAAAUUUCCCUUAUCGACGGAAAGAUGAUGAAUGCAGUUUGUCACGGCCAUAUUUAUCAAAAUAGAAUGUCCAGAGCUUUCAAAAAAAGGGUCAAACUAAGACAAUUUGCACCAGGACAGCUAGUGCUGAAGUAUAUCCUCCCACAUCAAUAUGAAGCAAAAGAAAAAUACUCUGCCAACUGGAAAGGCUCGUACAUGGUUUACAAGAUACUGACGCGAAGAGCGCUCAUACUUGUAGAAAUGGAUGGAGAAAUCUGGCCAAAACCAAUCAAUUCAAAUGCAAUCAAGAGAUACUAUUCUUAGAUUGUUUACAUUUCCUCAUCUGUUAUAAUUGAACUACGCUUGAACUGAUUCCUGUUUAAGAGGGCAUAUGUAGGAAACCUUAUGUGUUAGUUCAUAUAUAAUAAAAUUUCCAUUUUCCCCAAGCCUAGAGAUCGGGUAGAAUUUUGAAGAGGACCCUCAGAAUUUCGGAGCAAGUCCAGCAACGCCAACAUGUGUCAGACGACCAAUAAUUAGUUAAGAAAGUGGGGCAGAACUGUGUAAAGGAUUCUCAAAAUUCUAAAGAAGAUUCAGAAAGGCCUAUUAUCUGCAAACAGUCAAAAGAUCACCCACUAAACUGGGGAAGAAUUUUGAAGAGGACCCUCAAAAUUUCAACAUAAGAGAGCUACAGUGCCUUGUGAUUUUUACAGUCGCUAAAUAAUCUAAAUGUAUCAAUAUAUUUCUGAGAUAACUCUAUUUUUAUCAAAUUACAUAUUUUCGAAAACUCUAUUUACAUAGCAAUCAGGUGUUAUCCAGGGAAACUCGAAGGGCUUUCAAAAUGGAGCAAAGCAAAGCUAGCUGACAGAGGCACGAACCAACCUCCCCCCUCACCCAUAAAACUUACAAUUUUUCUUUGAACGCGGUUACAUUUUACAUAACGAUAAUAUCUAAAAAUAUAUGCACGCAACAAGAUUAUUAUCAAUCGGUCUGUCAAACACCAAAUAUACAUCUCCUGCUAUGACACAUGCUACUCUUACUUGCUACUUGCUCUUUACAUGAGGCUAAUUCUUGCAGUCAUAUUUACAUGAGGCUAAUCCUUGCCUCCAUAUUUGCAUGAGUCUAAUCAUUGCCGCUAUAUUUGCAUGAGUCUAAUCCUGGACUCCAUACUUGCAUGAGGCUAAUCCCUGCCUCACUAUUUGCAUAAGUCUAAUCAUUGAAAAAUCUAUACUUGUAUGAGGCUAAUCUCUGCCUCCCUGUUUGCAUGAGUCUAAUCCUUGACUCCAUACCUGCAGGAAGCUAAUCCCUGCCUCCAUAUUUGUAUCAGUCUAAUUCUUGACUCCAUACCUGAAUAUGGCUAAUCCUUUCCUUACUAUUUGCAUGAGUCUAAUCCUUAACUAUAUACCUGCAUGAGGCUAUUCCAUGCCUCGAUAUAUGUACGAGGAUAUUCCCUGCCUCGAUAUCUGCAUGAGGCUAAUCCCUGCUUUCCAAUUGCAUGUCUAAUCCCUCCAUAUAGUAUGAGGCAAAUCACUGCCUCCCUACUUCCAUGAGUCUAAUCCUUGAUCCUUACCUGCAUGAGCUUAAUCCAUACCUCGAUAUUUGCAUGAGUCGCAUUCUCGACUCCAUACUUGCAUGAGGCUAACCCCUACCUCCCUAUUUGCACAAGGCUAAUCCUUGCCUCCCUACUUGCAUGAGAUUGUUCAUAGUCCCUUUUCGCACAAUUUUUCUCUAUUUUUAGCACUAUCUAUUUGCUCUUCUAUCUCUAAGCUCUACCCUCCAUUUUGAAAGACAAAGCCUUGUUUUGUCAACAUCUUAUUACUACAUAUCAUGGGCGGAAAUAUUGCCAAUCUAUCCAAAUGCAUCAUAGUAUAAAGGCAUCAUCCUCAUAGUCGGAAGACACCAUGUCAUGGCCAAGGGAUCUCUCAAAUCUCCAUAUCAUUAUUCAAAUUUAUCACGGUUCGGAGGUACCAUCUUCAUGGCCCGAGAACAUCAUUGCAUGGCCUGUGAAUACCUCACUAAAAAAUUCAUGGCCCAGUAUUUCAUGGUCUAAGGAUGCCAUCUUUAACUGUCCAAAGACAACCUUCAUGGUCCAAAGAGAAUUUGUAUCAUGUUUAAAUUUUCGCACAAAUACAGAUUUGUAGCAUCUCUUAUCUUAAAGUAACCAGUAAGCCACCACUACCCUAGCAGGGGCGAUCUCGCUCUAGUUCUUCCAAUGCUACUGAGCCUUAACCACUCACUAUAGCUGUUUCGGCAUCGUGUGUCUGUUCUUGUAAUAAUUUUACUGGCAUAUUCCACAGAUGAAUCCAGAACUACACAUGGCUUGAUUCCUGUAAAACCAUGGAUAUUUAGGCAGCUAGAGGGCUAGAGUCUGGCCCCUGUCUUUCAAAGCAUCCUGUCAGGUCAAAAUUAACCAUCAUUUUUUUAACCGAAAACUAUUUCAUCCUUCCCGGGUAAAGAGAGGUAGUUGUUGAUUCCGAUUUUUUCCUUAUAUAUUAUAAGUAUGCAUAAAUACUUCAAAAAUAGCAUAUAUAUGCAAUAUGUAAUCAUACUCACAAUUUUUAUAAUUUUCUAUAAUUUUAAAGAUCUUUAAUUGAUUUAUUUCCUCCCUUUUACUCAUAGGGUUAAAUUGUCUAUUUAAAACUUAGUCAAAUUGUAUUUAAAUUUUAGCCUAACUAAACCCGAUACCUAAGCCCAAUUUAAUAUUAAACCACCCGAUCUAGACCCUAAAUACACCUACCCGACCUAGAACUCAUCAGAUCAUGACCGUUGAUCUAGAAGAUCAACGUCCCAUAUUGAUUCUUUCCUUUUUUAAUUUAAAAAAACCCCUAACCCUAAUCAUUUUCUGUAUACCGACGCCCUAAAAUCCACUGUACUCUCAAUACACUCUCGACCUAAUCCUAGACCUUCAGCUGUCGACCUCCGAUCUCCGGUCAUCUUCGGUGACCUCUCAUCGUCUCCUACGCCUCCAAUGGCUUCUCUCAUUCCAUGCUUGCCUUCUCUAAGGUCCUCAAGGGUCAUCUUCUACCUGUUUGUGGCUAUUCCAGUGUGAUUUCUAGCAAAAUCAUUCUGUAUUUAUUACGAUCCUUGGAAUUCUAGACAGGUUUGAAACCCUAAUUUCUUUUCUAUACCUGUUAGAUAUGUACAAAUCUAAGAUGAUUUGAGUUUUGCCUUUAAUGUUUUACACUAUCGUUGAGAUUCUAUACAAGAAUCGUUGAUUUUAAGUGUUUUUCACCGACUUCUAAAAACUAGGGUUUCAAAACAUCUUUUUAAAACCUUGUUUAAUUGAUUAUUUGUGUUUAAACUUCUAUUUCUAGUAUUAUUUUAACUGACUCUAUUAUUUUACUAUAUAUUUAACUCGUCUAUGUUGAAAGCCCUAAUUUUCUAGGUUUCUUCAUUUAGUUCUGUGUAUCAGCAUGACUGUCCGGUUCUCGUUUGAGUUUAUGUGACUGUCUUACCUUGAAAAUGUUUCUACUGAGUUUCUUAGCCUAACUUACAUCAACUCUAUGUGCUUGUGUUCAUCUUGACUGUUCAAGACUUGCCUCUUUCUAUCAGUGAUGUUUAACCUUCAUGUUUGCUAGAAUUGUAUGUCGAUUUUUUUACUAUCCAUGUCUUACUUUAUUUAUAUGCUAAACACUGACUCAUGACUUUUUCUUUGAUUGAUUCCGGAUCCCCUCUUUCUUUUUUUGAUCGGAAGACUUUCCUGUAAACCUUCGAUUUCUACCUUUUCUAUUCAAUUUGAUUGACUUGCUUACCUUAUCUGCAUUGGUACUUGAUUCUUACUGACCAUCUCCUUAAUAAGAGUUUUCUGAACUUAGCGCUAGUUGUUUACCCUAUAAUUACUAUAUUAGAAAUCUUUCCUUAUUAAUUGUACAUUAAUUUAUUUCCUUAUUUGCUAUUUAACUCUUUAAUUAAGGGAAGUACUUACAUUGAUUUGAUUCUAAUUAGUAAAUGGUUCUAUAAUUAUUUUUGAACUUAGAUUCUUUCCUUAUUUUUACAUGUUUUCAAACUAUAAAUACUUACUCAUUCAUUACUCAUUCAUUAACACAUACUUGCUCCUGCCUUGAAUAAUCUGGCUGGGAGCUAAGGCUAAUUAUUGUGCUCUCCUAUCCUCAACUUUGUGUUUACUAUCUUCUUUGCUGGUAUGUUCUGAUAUUAAUUCAAGUUUCAAAAUACAAAAUUUUUCUUUUACUACUUUAGUCCAUCCCGCUUCUAGUAUGUUUCUAUCUAUGGUUUUGUUAUGCAGCCUGCAGUUGAGAUGCUUUUUUUCUAUCUAGUUAUGUUAUGUACUACCCCCAUUAGGAUCAGCAUGCUUAUGAAAUGUUACCCCCCUCACCCCUUUAUAGUAUGUCUCAAUGUGACUCUAUCCCAUUUUAUGUUUAACAGGUUUUGGUAUGAACCUUUCUUUGUCAAAACAAGUCGUACCUUAAGUUACUUGUUCUGUGUUAGUUCUUAAGCUCAUACUGUACUCUAAUCCAUGAGCUCCCAUUGAAUACUUCUCAUUCUGUAGCUAAGUGCCCUUCUGUCUGUUAUGCGUUCACUACAUAUGCUUUAUAUGUCCCCAAUUCCCAAUUGACCCGGUUUGAAGAUUUGUUCCCUGAGUGUUUGCUAAACUUAUUUGACUGACCUGCUAUUUUUUUAUUUACAUAAAUGUUCUCAAAAGGUGUUUUAAUAAACAACCCUCUUAUUUACAAAACUAUUUCAACUUAGUCUCUUUCACACUACUUUCCUGCUAAAAACCUUUUGAAACUAUUUCAAGCACUCACUCUACUCCUAAAUUUCUAGGUUCUGCCCCCUCCGGUGUGUGUACUUCCUUGGGAGCCUUCUGAGGUCCCUCUGAACUCUGGCACACUGAGGUUGGCCCUUCCACACCGCACUUACUCAAUUUGGUUACAAAGUCUAGGUGUGAGUAUCGGGAUCCUUGAGAUCCUCAGGGAACUCUGACGCACCUAGACAAUGACAUUGUCUAUGAAACUAACAUUUGAGGCUAUUAGAGGUUUGGGAAAUCACUUGAGCUUGCUUUAGACUCCAUAUAGUGUAACUUCUUCUCGUUCUUUAUGUAUGUAAUUCAUUCAUCUAGUUUGUAAUAAUUUGUAACAUGAAUAUUGGGGUGAUUAGUAAAAAGGGGUGUGUAAUUACAUAUUUGUGGGAUAAUAUUGGUAGAAACCAUGGAUAUAGGAUUUUAUAUUUUAUAUGUCUGCCCUACCAUAUUAGAAACCAUGCCGAAAUGAUUUUAUAUAUUUUCUAUGUCUGUCCUACCAUAUUAGAAACUAUACCCGUAAAAUUUUUACAUAUUUUCUAUGUCCGCCUUACGAUAUUAGAAACUAUGCCUAUAUGAUCAUUUAAUAUAACUGUUAUGUUUGCUUAACCAUGCUGGAAAUUCUUUCUAUAGGGUUUAAAUGGUUCCAAAUAAUAGAAAUCAUGUCCAUAGAUUUAAAAAUCAACUUCACAAAUAGAUACCAUACAUAAGCAUGUGAUCAAGUUCAAGUUUCUAUUCCAAUGGGUAUUUACAUUUGUUUCCACUAGAAAUCAUGCCUUUAAGUUUCUAAUGUCAGAUCUUAACAACUAGAUAUCAUGUUUAUAGGGAACAACAUCAGAAAUUCUGCCUAUAGAUCUAAAGUCAAUUUAGCUUAAAUAAGUCAGUCCAAUUCAUGUUAGUUUACUUUGAAACUAGUCUAAUUAGUGGUUUGCUUUCCUUAAAUGAAUCCUUUCAAGAUCUGUCCUAAUUUACUAUUAGAAAGCAUGCCUAUAGGAAUUCAAGACUCCUUUUUAAAAUCUGCUUGUUGUUUUACUACAUCAAACGUAGCUAUCAUGUUAUUAGGACAUCAUUGUUCUGCGUUUAGGCAAUCAUAUAGGGCGGUUUUUCAAAUUCUACAAACUGUAUAUCUAAUACUUGAAGUUGUUCAGAUUUAACAGGUUAAAAUCAUUAGGAAAAUGAUUUGGGCCUUACUACUGAGUUUAUGAAAACAAUGUUGCAUGUUUCUGUGCAUUGACAUCCACUUAGACGUCCCGUUUAGGCUUUUUCUCUAAAUAAAAAACUGAUCUUGUUGUAUUUGAAUGUGCUGCCUAUGUGUAUUACUUGUGGAGGUACACCUGGGCCUUUUAGUUGUCUCUUUUUGUCUUUAACCGUUAAGUCCUAUGUUUAUUGCAUGUCGCCUACAAUUUUCUCCUUUUUAAGCACCUUAGGGGUCGUCUUGAACUGCCUAGAUUUAGAUGUCCUAAAAUUCCUCCAGGGCCACAAGGAAGGGAUGGGUAGUGCAUGCAUAGGCAUUUUCAAUGUUACUAGAACACUUUAGGCUAUGACCAAGGGGAGGGAUUUGAGUAGAACGGGAUAUGAUGACUACGCGCUAAUGUCACGUGUAGCCCCUUAUUGAGGAGUUUUUACCGGGCAUUGCAUGGGGUGAUCCUGUAGGCUUACUAACCUAGGACGCCUCUUUUCAUAAACCCUUCGCUUUACUUUCCUAUAUGUACACAAUCAUUGUCCUAUUAUUUGAGUCAUACUAUGUCCAAUGUGCUUUAUUUGCAAUUAUUUUUUUCAACUACUUUUCUGUUGAAGGACUAAUUCAUAAAUAUAAGUUCAGUUGGGACCACAGUUGUUGACCGAGAGGGGUGCCUAACACCUUCCCCUCAAGGUUAUUUUGUGUCCAUUCCUUAAAUCUCUAGUAAUGCAAACCAAUCCAAGGGUUAAUCGUUGUAGGUGCCCUAACGCACCAUAGUCCAUUAGGUGGCGACUCUUCAAAAUAUCCAAUUCCCAAAAGAAAAUGAGUUACUAACUCCCCCUCAAUAAAUAUUGAAACCCGAACCUUUUCUUCCCCGCAAAAAAGGAAAGAAAAAAAGGGACGCGACGGCUGCUCAAAGGAUAGGACUGGAAAUACAAUCAAUCUUCAUUCACUAAAAAGCGUUGCAAGGAGAGAGUGUACCCAUUUGAAAAUGGUUAAUAAAGGGGUAUGCUCUAGGAGUUGGAAUUGUUUUUUAAGGAAAUAAGGUGGAAUGCUUGUCCAGGAUACUCACAAUCUCAAAUCCUUUGACUGCUAAGGUAUUGUUGUAGCGAAAAGACACAAGAGUACGUAUAUUGUUGUCAUUGAGCUUAUGCAGAGUGGAGACAUAAGUUGGUUGGAAGCUAUUGAAAAUAAUACAUAAAUCGUGGGACAAAAGUCUAGAGCAUUUCAUGUUGUCUAUCUCUAAACAAACUAGAUCUGAAGAACCUAGUUCAUGGUCUGAUCAAGUUGAGUAAAAGGUAUCAUGAAGUGCGCAACGCUUGUGCAAAAGAAAAGCAUAUUAGAUCUUCAUUCAAGCCCAAAAAAGGGCAGACAACACUUCAAAACCAAGGAUGAGAUCGUUCGAUAAAAUGUGGUUUUGUUCAAGAAGAUCCAGGUACAAAUAGAAACAGAUGUGGCUUGCAUCAGACUAAAUCAUGGAACAGGUUUGGACAAUGCCAUAAGCGGACGAAUGAUAUGUUGAAAUUUGCUCAAAGAACACCACCUCAGAUAGAGUUGUUGAAAAUAAGAAAAGGACUGUUGAAAAUUUGGUCACGGAAAAAUACUAUUGCUCUUUUACAGCUCUGACAAAAAAAUGAGCGACUAUAGAGAGAAACUUGCGAUCUUGCUGCCAUGGCCACGACAGCCGGUGGCCAUCCCUCUUCUCCGGCUGGUCAGCAUCCCUCCCACCCUUGCCCGGACUUCUUCUACAAUGAACAAUAAAGCCCCUAAAUUACUCAAAAUAUUAAAACCUAGAACAAUUAAUGCUGCCAUGCACGAUCGUUCUGUUGAUUCAAUUCCCAUGCGACGAGCAGCUAUUUUGAAUGGGCAACAUGUUGUCAAGUUUACUGAAGCAGAAGUAGAGAGAAUGAAAGUUAUUGAACGAUUACAAUAUGUAGAUUUGAAUGAAAUCCGUCAUAUUAUUCCUUCUCAAUGUGGAAUUAAAGGAGAAUGUAGCAUUGGAUAUUUCAGAGAUAGACAUGUCCUCAUUCGAAUGACAUUAUGGCAGAACUUUGCUGAUUCCAUAUCGAAAGGAGCUCAAUAUGUUAAAGAUAAGUAUGGCCAUGAAUAUCAGAUUCGUCUAUUGGUUUAUGAUGUUAAGUUUAAAGUUGGAGAGGAGACUCCAAUGGCAAUGGCAUGGAUAUCUUUCCCUGGUCUAUUACCCACUUAUUUUGUAAAAGAAUGCCUCUUUUCUCUUGCUUCAACUGUUGGAAAACCUAUUCAACUGGAUAUGGCAAUAGUUAAUAAAAGGACGCCUAGUUGUGCAAGGGUUAAGGUACUUGUUGACUUAACGGCUGAUCACCCUAGCAAGGUAAGAAUGGAUAUUUUUAAUGAAACAUCAGGAGAAAUAAGGAAUAAGUAGGUUAAUAUUAAGUAUGAUAUGAUGCCUAAAUAUUGUAAAGAGUGUAAGUUUCGAGGCCAUGAUGAGUUUGAGUGUUGGAGACUGCACCCAUAGUUAGUGGUUCACAAUGAUGAAAAAUAGGCUGGAGGGGACAAGCGUAAUUCUAAGGAACAAAAUAAACAACCAUUGAUGAUUUUGUCUAAUGGAAAGGUUGUUGGAAAUGUUGGAGAGUAAUGGAAAGAAGUGAGGGAAAAUCGAGUGAAGAAUGAUGCACAACAAACUGUAGGACAAGGUCAAACUGGUAAGGAGAUUGUCCCAGUUGAUGCAAAAAGUACUCAGCAGGAUCAGACAAGCGAGGAUGUUCAUCAUACCAAUGAGGUAACCGAUAAUGAAUUGUACCAGUUAGUGGAUUUAAUCAACAAAGCAUUGUGAACAAGGGGAAGAAUAUUAUUCUAACAAAUCUUAGGAGCAGUAGAAUAAGGUGACUAAUAGAAACGAUAUGGUUCAAAAUGAUACAUGUAAUAAUCAGCAAGUUGAGAUAGCUAAUAAGUUUGAAGCACUUGAGGAAUAUGAUGAUGAAGACAACGAUCAGUUGAUGGAGAUAGAACAAAAGUUCUAUAGCAAGAAGUCCUACUUUAGUUGGGAUUUUAAAUCCUAAGGUAGCUACAUUUACUCUUAUGUCAACAUGUUUAGGAAGCACUACAAAGAAAGAUAAAAAAAUUAAAGAGAGUAGGAACAUAAUAGCUGGUAGGUUGCAAAAAGAAUCUACAGCAGCAUGGGUGAACAGAAUAUUUGCAGUAAUUUUGGUGCAACUAAUCAAUCAUGCCAGGAAAUUCCCUCACAGGCAACUGAAGUUGAUACAACAGUUAAAGAGGUCAAUGCUAAUGACAGAUUACAACUUAGUGGUGGAAAACUGUGGGAUGCUCAAACAGAAGACGACUUAGAGGAAGGUGAACUACCUGAACGUGUCAGUAGUGAGGAGGAGUCAUCAGAUGAGGAAAAGGAUCAAGAAGAACAAAGUGAUAAUGGCAAGGCUAAUAAGGAAUGCCAGAAAUCAGAUCCUAAAGGUGGAACAUUUAAAGAAACUAUAGCUGAUCAAAGAGAAGAUACACAUGGAAUCAUUCAAAAGAAGGGAAUUGCAGGAGAUCAACCUGGCCAAAAAAUCAUCAGUUGUAGUACUAAUAAAGAGCUACCACCAGUUAAGCCUAACAUAGAACAAGAUAUUCCGAUUGCAGUAGCUGCAGGAACUAAAGGUUCUAAGACAAAUGUAGAAGGUAAAGGAACUAGAGGAGAUCAUGAGAAGGACAAUGAGGAUACAACAAGUAAUCUUGUCAUCAAUGCAGGAUUGAAUCAAUCAACAAAUGGUGAAAGGAAGAGUGACAUACACAAAAGUUUGAGUUCAUGUCCAAUAGGAAAUCAAAUUGCAGAACCAAUAGAGAACAAGGGUAAUGAAGAUAAUAUGGAAGGCAAGGGAAGAGAUCUAGAUGCUGAAUCUACUUUUCAAAACUUCAAAAAUAUUGCAAAACAAGGUGACGUAUCACCUAGGUAUCUUGAUAAGGGUAAAUUAGCUGGAAGAGGUUAGAAGAGAAAACAAAAAGAGAAUAAUCAAAGUGCGGUUCCUGGGGUCCAAACAAGAAAUACCCUACCUAAAUCUCAUAAUUAAUGAUGAAUGCCAUUAUUUGGAAUAUGAGAUCAGUAAAGAUAAUACAAGCAUUUAAAAGGCUUAUUACAAUGCAAAGACAACGCCAUUUUAAGUUCACAGGAGUUAUGGAACCAAAGCAGAAAAAGAAGAAAUUGGAAAGAUAUAGGAGGAUGAUAGGAAUGUUACAGGCUUUUGCAAAUGUAUCUAACAAAAUUUGGGUAUUUGUGGAUGAGGAUCAUAGAGUGGAUAUUAUAUAUGACCUUGAGCAAUAGCUGAUCUUGAAGCUUGCAAACCUGGAUACUCAUAUAUCUUUCAUGAUUACUUUUGUGUAUGCCAAAUGUGACCCCAUUGAAAGAAUAGAAUUGUGGGAUAGUCUGUAUUAUAUGGCCAGUGAUAUGUCAUUGCCUUGGCUUGCGGGGGGGGACUAUAAUGUGAUAUAGGAUGAAGAGGAGAAGUUUGUUGGUCUACCUAUGUCAUUGAACGAGAUCAAUGAUUUUAGACAGUGCAUUACCACUUGUAACCUCAAUGAUCUGGGCUUUAAAGAGAGUAUCUAUACAUGGUGGAAUGGGAGAGGGAAAGAGGAUUGUAUAUUUAAAAGGAUGGAUAGAUGUUCUGGGGAAUAUGGAAUUGCAGCAGAUGUGGCCUAAUCUAGAGGUUACUCACUUGUCUAAAACUGGAUCUGAUCAGAGUCCAAUAUUAUUGCAGUAUAAUCCAAAUGCUACACCAAUCAAGAAAUCUUUUGUGUUUUUAAACUUCUGGUGGCAACAUCCAACCUUCAAAGGAGUAGUAAAAGAAAAUUGGAAGACUGACUUUAUAGGAGAUCCCUUUUAUGUAUUCAAUAGUAAGUUAAAGAAGCUGAAAAAAGCUUUAUCCCUAUGGAGCAAGGCAACAUAUGGAAACAUAUUCUAGAAAAUCUCUAGUCUUGAGGAGGUAGUACUAGUCCAUGAAGCACAGUUUGAGAGGGCACCUACAUAUUAGAAUAGAGAAAAACUGCAGAAAGUAAAGGCUGAACUAACUAGAUUUUUAGCAUUGGAUGAGGAAUUUCGAAAGCAAAAAUUAGGGAUGACAUGGUUUAAAGAUGGGGACAGGAAUGCUAAUUUUUUUCAUGCUCAAGUCAUGGUAGAAGAAGAAGAUUGCAAGUGAAAAUGAUGCAAAAUUGUAAUGGUAGUUGGUUAGAGGACGACAGUGAUAUGGCAAAUGAGGCAGUCAGAUUUUUUAAGACUCAGUUCCAUGAAGAAUAAGCUCCAACCUCCUUUGAAAUACUAGAACAUAUACCAACGCUGGUUGACAAUGUGCAUAACUUGGAGCUGAUUAAACAACCAACCUUUGAAGAGGUAAAACAAGCAGUGUUUGGACUAAAUGGGGAAAGUGCUAGGGGCCCUGAUGGUUUCACAGGUUAUUAUUUCCAUACUUGUUGGGAAAUAAAAGCUGAUGAUAUUGUUGAUAUAGUUAAGGCAUUCUUCAAUGGGUCUGAAAUUCCCAGAUAUGUGACACAUACUAAUUUAGUUUUGUUACCAAAGAAGAAAGAGGUGAUUUCAUUAUCAGAUAUGAGGCCUAUUAGCCUUAGCAAUUUUGUCAAUAAGAUCUUCUCUAGAGUGGUCUAUGAAAUAUUAACAGUUCUGCUGCCAAAUAUUAUAUCUGAAGAGCAGACUGGUUUUGUAAAAGGCAGGAGUAUUGUAGAAAAUGUUCUUCUAACAUAAGAAACCCUUACAGAUAUUAGAAUGAGAACAAAAUAUGGGCCAAAUAUAGUGAUUCAAUUGUACAUGGAAAAGGCCUAUGAUAGAUUAUUAUGAUAAUUAUUAACUAAAGUAUUGAGGAAGAUGGGCUUUGGGGAAAGGUUUAUUGGUCUGGUAUAUGAUAUAAUCUCAAAUAAUUCGUAUUCUAUUCUACUUAAUGAGCAGCCUCAUGGACUUUUCAAAUCUACGAAGGGGGUAAAGCAAGGUGAUCUUGUAUCACCUACUUUGUUUAUAUUGGUUGUUGAGGCAUUAUCAAAGGGGUAUGAACUCAUUGCAUAAUAACCGGCACUUUUGUGGUUUUGGACUGCCCAAGUGGAGUCCCAAGAUCAAUCAUCUCGCAUAUCCAAAUGAUACAACCAUUUUUUCUUCUUCUGAUGCAAUAUCCUUGAGGUUGAUCAUGGAAACUCUAGCAGGAUAUGGGAAGGCUUCUGGAAAAUUUAUAAAUAAGAGCAAGUCUACCAUCUAUUUACACCAUUUAGUAGGGAAAGAAGUAGUGGACAAGGUACGAAGAAUAAUAGGUAUUUCCAAGAAUGAGUUCCUAUUUAAAUACCUUGGUUCCCUAUUUUCUACUCUUGAAGAAGGAUGAAUUACUAUCAGGGACUCAUAACUAAGGUAAUGGACAAGCUGCAAGAUUAGAAAGGGAAGUUGUUAUCGAUAGGGGGAAGGGCAGUACUGAUAUCUCAUGUACUUCAGAGCAUGCCAAUACACUUGGUGUCCUUAGUCAAUCCCCCAGCUUAUAUGAUUAACAAAUUGUAGAUAAUGUUUUCCCAAUUCUUCUGGAGUAACAUAGUAGGCGUAUCAAAUAGGCAUUGGGAUUCAUGGAGUACAUUAUGCAUGCCUUGUGAAGAAGGAGCAUUUUAGAUCUCUACAUGAUAUAUCCACAGCCUUGUUUUGCAAACUUUGGUGGAAUUUUAGAACUCAACCUAAUUUGUGGAUUGCAUUUAUGAGUCAGAAAUAUUGCAGUAAGUUAAAUCCUAUGAUUGUCCCUUGGGGAUAUGGUUCUCAUGUUUGGAGAAAAAUGCUAGAGUGUAGAGAUAUCAUUGAACAUCAAAUAUUGUGGCAGCCUAAAAUGGGAACCUCUCUAUUCAGGUUAGAAAAUCCCGCAGGUUUGGGAUCACUCUAUUUUGUUACCCCUCCUAAUUUUGUGUGUGAUGAGUCAAUACAAAACAUAUAUGAUGUGGUAUACUAUGGUCAAUGGAAUGAGGAGAAGAUAAAAGAGAUUCUACCAGAAGAAUUAGCAGAACAUAUCUUACAGCAUAUGAAGCCUCCAGUUAUGAGUGAGGGCAUUGAUAAGCCUUGUUGGUGCUAGAAUCUAGUUUUGAAUUCACUGUGAAAUCAGCUUGGGAAUAUCUGAGAAGGAGGAAUGACCCUGGAAAUACAUAUAGAAAUAUAUGGGUGAAAGGUCUUCCUAUUAAAAUCUCAUUUUUCAUGUGGAAAGUGUGGAGGAAUAAACUACAUUUGGAUGAAUUUUUUAAAAGAUUGGGUUACCUUAUAGCUUCUAAAUGCUAGUGCUACUCUGAAUCACAGAAGGAGACAAUGCAACAUUUGUUCUUCACAUCAUAUGUAGCAACCAAAGUAUGGAAGUACGUUUUUGGACAUGCAUGUAUUACACUAGAAGGAAUUUCAUUAAAUCAGGCUAUUGUAAAAUGCUGGACUGCAGAUGUUAUACCUAGAGUUAAACCUAUAAUGCAAGCAUUACCUUCUGUCAUUGGGUGGCAGCUUUGGAAGAGGAGGAACAGAGAUAUACAUGGAGAUACUGUAACAGUAAAUAGGGUUAUAUAUCAUGUGUCCAGUACUAUGCAAUCUCUUGUGAAAUUCAGAAAGCCAAACCUGCAGAACGUGCCAUAUACAUGGCUAGACCUUCUGUACAUAUUGGAGUCUUAUCUUCCUAAAUUGAAGUAUGCUAAUGUGUUAUGGGAAUGUCCAAAUUCAGGAUGGAUAAAGGUGAACACAAAUGGGGCAUCAAGGGGAAAUCCUGGGAGGAGCUCAAUAGGAUAUGUGAUAAGAAAUGAAGAGGGAGAUCAAGUAUAUGGCUGUGGAAAAGAAUUGCAUGAAGGAAUAAAUACAGAAGCUGAAGUUAAAGCUAUACUUGAAGAAAUGAAGUUUUGUGUUAGAAAUGAUUAUAUACUCAUUGAAUUUCACACUGAUUUAAUGAUACUUAAGCAUGUUUUAAAUGGGUAAUGGGAUGUACCAUGGAACAUAGCAGAGCAGGUGGAGGAGAUAAAGGAACUAAUGAGCAAAAACAAUGUAACAAUGGCUCACACUCUGAGGGAAGAAAAUAGAUUAGCUGAUCAUUUAGCUAAUUAUGCCUUGGAAUUUGGAGGUAUUGAAACAAAAAAAAUUUGGGAGCUAGAUAUACAAGGAAGGAAUAUAGUAAAUGAUGAUAAGUCACAAUGCCCAUAUAACAAAAUAAAAGUUGCAGGAAACUAGAAGGAGAGGGGGCAACAAGGUGGAGAGGUGGUAUGCUGGCAAUUUUAGUGAUAUAAUAAGAGUGUCAUAUUCAAAUAAGGGUUUAGGAGAAUAUAGUCAGUUCAUUGGAUUGGCUAAAUAUGGGAUCAGGAGGAAAAAUCAUCCACUAUGGUCGAAUCCUUAUGGAGGAGAUCAUAGGAAGAAGUUUUAUAUCUAACAAUUUUUUCUUUUUUGCAGGUGAUGCUAGUGUGUCCAUGAGUUCUCUAUUGGUAAAUCAUCCAUGGGUGGUAUUAGCACAAUGUGCUCAACCCCAGGAUAAGAUAUCAGUAAGGAAUAAAAGUAUGGACACAUGGAGGAUUAUCAGUAGGCUGCAUAUCAUUCUCUAUUGGAAUAAAGUAUACAUGAGACUGCGCAGAAGUUAUGCAUUAGUUGCAAAGCAAUGCAGAGGCAGUAUGGAGCCCAUAAAAUAAAAAAAUGUGGGCUAUACUUACAGAUAGUCAGGAAAUGAGAUCUGCAGCACAAUUCUAUGCUGUAGAAUACAAGAUCCAAAUCAUUUGGGAGGAGAAAAUGAUGGUAUUUGAUUUUUCUAACUUGGUGAUCCUUUUUGCGGAUGAAUCUAUUUGACAUGUGCAUUCGUACUUGCUGCAACUUUCAAGGGUGGUAUUAGUUAUUUUCGCUCAUCCCCCUAAAGGAAUAGCUAUAGCAGGCAUAAUCAUAGGCAUAAUCUCCAAAUAUGAUGAAAAGAUAGUUUUAUCAAAGAAGGAGCAGGGCAAAUGGUACUUAAAAAAGGCAGAAUUAAGGGAUAAUUUUAAUCGAACAUCAAAGGCCAUUGUUGUGAGUCUGACUAAUAAUUUUAUAUAACCUCAAAGGGUGGUUUUAGCACCUAGUGUUCAUUCCCUUUGGGAAGUAUCAAAAGUAAGCAAUAGCAGAAAGAGACUGAUGGCUAUCACUACAACUGGAUCAAGACGUGCAUAUAAUACAGAUCAUUUAAGGCACCAAGCAAAGGCACAGGAAAAUAAAUUAUCAGAAGAGUUUACUGCAAACUUGGGUUAUAGAUGGAUACAACUUCAAAGGGUAGUAUUAGCACGUAGUCCUCAUUCCCGUGGAGAAGUACCAAAUUUAAGCAAAAGAUGCAGGAAAGUAGAACCAACAACUUUUAAAGAUGGAACUAGGCACAUAUGCUGACAUGGUUAGUCUUAGUAUUAAUAUUAAUGAUGUCAACAACAAGUAAUUGGAAGUCACAAGAAGCAGAUAAACAAUGAAGCAAGUGGAUGCAGAAAUGGACAAAAUGUGGACAUGCCUCAUAUUGGACACGAGUUUUAAACUCAAGGGAUACAAAUUGGACUAUAUUGUUAAUGCAAAUUGAUAAGAAGACAUAUGUGGAAGGAUUUCAUGCAGCUAGGACAAAGAGAACUGGAACAGGAAAUUACUUCAAAUGGAAAAAAACAUUGACAUCAGCACAACAAAGGGCAUGAAUCAAAUCGAACAACUGGAAUGAUAUGGACAUACUCAUGAACUGCAAAUCAUAUUGGGAGGGCAUAACAAUUAUCUGGGCAAAGAAAAUUGAGACUCAAGCUUCAAGAAGGAGAGCAACAAAUCAAUAAACUAACACUGGUUACCAACAUGCAACACCAAGCAAGUUACGUCAGAGGGUUUCAAAGGCUAAUUGUUAGCAUAUGUAAUAACACUAGAAUUCAUUAUGAUAUUAGGGUAGAUGUAGGCAUCAAAGUUCAUUUGUUACAUUUUGUAAGAUCUCCAGACAUGCUUGUUUUUUUAUUUUAAAAUAUUUAUAAAACAGCCCUAGGCACAUAGCCUAGUGGAGUUUGCUUAAAAAAUAAAUGAAGGAUUAGCAAACAUCUUGACUAAAUUUCUGACUCAAGAGAGGAUAUCUGAGUAUAACUAUUAUGUUCUCAACAAUGGGAAGGGUCAGCCUUGAAAAUCUGAUGAUAGAAAAGAUAGAGUAAUCCUCAUGACUUACUUGUAUCAAAAGAGAAUAGAAAUACUAAUCAAGGUAAAGAAUGCCCACUGAUUCGAGCUAGGAACAAGGCCCCACAUCUACAACACCAGAAGCGGAAAAUCAAAUUGUUGGAAAGAAGGCUUUUGCAUAGAGACAUCACUUUAUCACCCAUGUAUCUCACUACAAGUAGACUAGACAUCAUGGUAAAAGCUGAGUUCUGUUGAAGGUCUCAGUUAAAUCAAAUGUAUUCUCAUAUGAAGGAUAGUGUAAGUAUCUUGAGGUAUCCUAGUAGAAUACUAAUUUUGGUUCUCUAAUGUCAUCCAAGUAAAUGGAUAAGAAAAGUUCGCCUAAAUUGGGAUAGUAUUUGAGUUCCUAUCUUGUCUCAUAAGGCUCAAUGAAGCAGAAUUCAAUGGCACUCUUAACAGCUAAAGCAGAAUAGGCAUAAUCAAUAUCCUACAAUGGUCAAGUACUAUGGAACAAGCAACAAAGUACAAUAGACCAAGAAACAAAUUGGAAGACCUGAGUCCAACUCAAGAGGGUCCCUGGGAAGAAAACAUUCUAAAAACAAUCGUGUUGCACUGGGGAUGAUGAAACACAACUAAGAACAUGGUUCUUCAUUAUUGGUUAUGAAAGUCAUAGUUAGGUAAAACCUAGCUAAAUUGUUUUCUAGCUAAGUAUAACUCAGAUCUUUACCGUUACAGGUAGAUACACAUGAUGACUAUAGAAGCAGAUGCUGCAGUGCAUGAUGAAUAAGGGGACAAAACUCACUUGCCAGACCUAUCAAGAAACCUAGUUCUCUAACACAGGUUAGUGGUUUCUUGGUUCUUUCAUACACAAUUUAAAAUGAACUAAAAAAAUAAUGCCAUAUCAUCAUCAACGUGACAUACUCUUUAAAGUAGUGUCUCUUUGUCUGAUACGUCAUAACCCAAACGUCACUCAUUUCUCUAAACGAUAUAUCUCCAAGGCAAAAGGGUGUUACCAUUUCAGAACGGGGGCCUCAUCAUAAUUAAAUCAACAACACAACUCUUUAUCUUCCAAACUCAAAAUUCCCUGUUUGUCUUCUCUCUUCUCAAAUCCACACUCCCUCGAGAAUUCUCAGCAUGCCUGAAAAUAAGCAACCGUUAGUAUGCCUGAUAAAACUGUGACUAAGUCCUCACCAGUGAGAAUUCCAGCAAAGGACCUCUCUCCAAACCCUUAAGAAGAGUUUCCUCCACACUCCACUACCUUUGCCACCCUCUCCGAGUCCACUCCUCUAUGAAAGUAUGAAGAUGUUUGUCCUCAUCCAUUCUCACUGGUCAAACAGAGUCAAUAGAGUGAACAAAGAAACCUCGUUUAGGAACCUUCUAGUUUUCUAUGGCUAAGAACUUGAUGUAAAGAACAUGUGACUAGUCAUGAAGAGACUGAAAUCUCUUGGACAAGUGAUGACUUAGAAGGCAUCACUCCUUCAUCUAUUGAAAUCACCAUGGAACCACAAGAAAAUAAAGAAAUAGAGAAUAUGUUUUACAUUACGUCAUAAGAGGUCAUUAUAGAGGAAUGUGCAAGAGAGUCUGAGCCUCAAAGGGAAGAAAUAGAAGAAGAGGGAGCAAUUGUGCCAUUUGAUCAGCCGGCACAAGCUGAUGCUACUGGGUCCCCAAAUAACGAACCUGAUCCUUCCAUGGAGAAUCCAGGCCGGGAGUCAUCUUCCCAGGUCAGUAUUGAUCUUGCUGCCUCUCCCCACUUCGAUGCUGAGACUUUGAAUAUGGGGGUGCUUGAGACAAAUCCUGACAAUGAAGAAUACGCAAAUGAUUUAGUGUAUUCUAACUUCAUCAAGGCUAGGACUAAGCCAACGGUAACUUGAACGCCACCUGCUAAGCGACCUAAUAGACAACUGUAGAAAAAGAAGGCUCUAGAGUUUGCCCUAAAGAAGAGUAAAAGGAGUAGAAGAAGGAGAAAGUUGGUUAAGGAUGGAAAAGUUGUACAAGAAGAGAAUGUUCCUAUAGUGGAUAUGGAUGAGGAAACCAAAGAAGAACCUAGUUCCUUAUACUGAAAGUCUUCAAGGAAAAUGCACUGUCUCUCUCAAUCUGAAAAGCACACCUCUAAGGAUGCUAAGAUUUUUUCCAAGAGUGAUGUUGCGGGUUCUAGUAAAAAGCUGUCAAAACGUUCUGGUGACAAGACAAUGAAGGAGGGUGGUGACAAGUCUUAUGAGGAACAAGUGGAGAAAUCUAGUAAACAUAGGUAGAGCAAGUCACUGGAGAAGGAAAUGUCUGUUGAAAAGUCAAUGAAAGGAAAUAGGGAUAAUGAUGAUGAUAAUAAGGAACCACGUUGCGUCAAGAAAGGAAAGAUGAGUGAAACUCUAAGGUUUGAGAAAGGGAAGCUGGGGAAUCAAAAAGUGUUGUGGGGCUGCACUUUUGCCUCUGACAUUCUAGAGAGUGCUGUGAUGAGACAAGUUUGGAUGUUUGUGAUGCUCAACAGUGGACAAAUUUGUUUACAAGUGAGGCUCCUAUAGUGUAUGAGGAGGAGGUGUUGAGUUUCUAUACUAGCCUCUUCACAGUAGAUGGUGAUCAAAUUUGUGUGUUGGUAAAUGAGGUAGAUAUAGUGAUGGAUUCUUCCUUAUGGGGGCCAAUUAUGGAUGUUCCUAUCGAAGAAUUGUCAUCUGCUCGGGCACUUGCACAACAAACUUUAGAAAUGCCAUUGUCAAGGGCAAGGCACUACAUCAUGUGGAAUAGGUGCAUAAGAAGGCACUCCUUCCAGUUUAUCAACUGCUCUUUGAGAUGGUUAACAAAGUAUUACUUCCUCGUACUGAAAGAAAAUAUGUUGUAUCCAAAGUCAGAGGAGUUUGAAGCACUUCCAAAAUCUCUCAACUGAUAAAUUCUCAGAAUAGUGCCAUUGAGAAGAUUCAGAAGUUGAAGGCUAGGAGCACGAUUCUUGAGAAUCCGCUUAGUCAGUUGAAAGAGGUAUUUAUUUCCAGUGGUUCUCACAGCACAGAGUUUGCACGCCUAUCAAAGGAGAAUUUUGAUCUAAGUAAAUAGGUAUAGGACCUGUAAGAAAGACUGCUCAAUGAGAAACUAUCCGCGAAGCUUGCAUGGAUCUUGUCCUCCAAACUCUUGCUUUCUCUUCCAAGUCCCCUUCCUCCAAUGUCCCUUAGAGAAUGUUCCCUUGGUGUCCAGUGUCUAUCCUUUUAUGUUGUUGUUGGUGAUAUUUUGUUAUUUUUGGUAUAUGUUUUUUAUAUGUUCUAGAUUUUGGAUGGAAAACAAUGACAUAGCUAUUGCCUGUAAUAGUCCAAUUCUUGUAAAUGAAAGUUGUUUCCCUUUUGCUAUCUAUGAUGCUGCUCUUUACUUCUGUCUUUUAUCAUGAUGUGAGCACAUAAGUGAAAUGAGUUAACUAUGAUAGACUUCUUUAUGCUGCUAACAUGUUCUGUCCUCUUUAUGAUGCCAAAAGAGGAAAGAUUUAAUUUAAUAAUCAAAAUAAAGAUGGGGGAACCUCAUUCAAGGGGAACUCACAAAAUUUCAGAAACUGAGGAUAUACAACGUGAAUCUAUCGAUGUCAAUGAAACUUUUUCACCGGUAGUCAAACUGACUACCAUCAGAUGCCUUCUAGCUGCAGCAGUCAAACGGAAUUGGGGAAUUUACCAAUUCGACGUGAAUAAUGCAUUCUUGUACGGUGAUCUAAAUGAGGAAGUGUGUAUGAAAUUACCUCCUGGUAUUAUGUCUCCUCCCCUUAGACAUGUUAGCAGGUUGGAGAAGUCCCUUUAUGGACUUCAAUAUUAUUCUAGGCAAUGGUAUGCAAAGCUGACCACUACAUUAAACUUCAAAGGAUUGAUUCAUUCUUUAAAAGGAUAUUCUCUUUUUUUCAAGAAAACAAACUAUCCUAUCUCAAUUGUUGUUAUUUAUGUCGACGAUAUACUUCUAAUAGAUAAUGACAAUUCAAAACUACGAUCUCCAAAGGAAUUUUUAGACCAAGAGUUCAAAAUAAAGGAUCUCGGAGACUUAUAUUUUUUCAUAAGAAUGGAAGUUGUUCGUGAACCUUAGGGGCUUAUCCUUCAUCAGAGAAAGUUCACUCUAGAUCUUCUCCGGGAGUUCAAUACACUAUAUGUACGCCAUGUCUCUUCUUCUCUUGAUCCAUCUGUCAAGCUAAAUGCUAUGGUUGGUGCUGUCAUACCAGAUCCUACUUUAUAUCAGCAUCUUUUGGGAAACUCAAUUACCUAACACAUACGAGGCCUGAUCUUUCUUUCUCGAUUCGCAUUUAAGUCAGUACAUGCAAGACCCGCGAAAACCUCAUCUUGAUGUAGCUUUUCGAGUGCUACAUUAUCUGUUACGCGAUCCUGGUCUUGGAAUUUUUAUGACAGCCUCUUCCUCUUUUGAGUUGUUGGCUUUUUGUGACUCGGAUUGGGGCUCCUGUCUAGAUUCUCGUUGCUCUGUGAGUGGCUACUUCAUAUCACUUGGUCCUUCUCCUAUUUCAUGGAAAUCAAGGAAGCAAGCCUCAAUCCUGCUAAGUUAUGCCGAGGCUGAGUAUCGCAGCAUGCAGCGAGUUGUUACAGAGCUCACCUGGUUGGUACGUUUGUUUGAUGAUCUCUCAAUCCCCAUAUCACUUCUUGUUCAUCUUCACUCCGACAGUCAAGCUGCAAUCCUAGCUAAGAACCCCGUCUUUCAUGAAAGGACGAAGCACGUGGAGAUUGACUAUCAUUUUGUGCGUCAACAGUAUCUCACAUGUUUAAUUUCCCUCUCUUUCGUCCGAUCUUCUUCUCAUUUGGUAGAUCUAUUUACCAAAUCCCUCACCGGCCUUGUUCAUCGCAAUCUAUUGUGCAAGUUGGGGUCCUCUCGUCCCCCGCCAACUUGAGGGGGGAUGUUGGUGCACAACCUAGAAGUACGCUAGUAGAGAAGAACAAAAAGAAGAACAAAUAUCUCUUAUUUAGAAACACCAAGGAAGAAGAUAGAGGCGGUGGAAGCUAAGUGUUUGUUUGAAGGGUUUC
rnacentral:lncRNA from 1 species